GACGAACGCUGGCGGCGUGCUUAACACAUGCAAGUCGAGCGGUAAGGCCCUUUCGGGGGUACACGAGCGGCGAACGGGUGAGUAACACGUGGGUGACCUGCCCUCAGCUCUGGGGAUAAGCCUGGGAAACCGGGUCUAAUACUGGAUAUGACUCCAUGACGCAUGUUGUGGGGUGGAAAGCCUUGUGCGGCUGAGGAUGGGCCCNGGCCUAUCAGCUUGUUGGUGGGGUGANGGCCUACCAAGGCGACGACGGGU
rnacentral:rRNA from 1 species